UGGCAUACUUUGAUAGUUUUUUAGUAGGUGUAACACGUUAUUGCAGAAAAAAAAAUCGGUCUCUACGAUUGUUUUUAUCCAAAUUAAAAAUAAAAUUUUUAUAUUGCCGUAUUUCUCGUUUUUCCGGUGUUUCCCCCCCGGUUUACCCGGUAUUUGGAAAAUCUCUUCGAUGGCACCGGCUAGAUAAAAUUGACUGCACUAUACAGCUCUCCUCUCGUUUUUUGAUUGGAGCGAGAUUUAUGUUAGAAAGAGGUUAGCAUUCGUCACGUUUUGAAACGUCUAUUUCGCUAUGCCCGGCGAAAAAUACCGUUAUCGGAUUCCGUUGGUUUUCCGGCCCGCGAGAGGGGAACCGCGGUCGGAUACACUGCUCGCCGAACUAAACCAGAGUACCUAUACUAUUAUGUUUUUCGUUUGGUGUGGUGGGAAAAUCGCGUGCGCUCGUUUUUCUUUCGCGUCGGUCAUAAUAAACAUAAAUAUAAAUAGAUACCUAAUGUACAUGUAUAUAAUUAAUUAUUCUAUACGCUAUUUUCAGGCAUUUCAAAACGUUAAUAAAAUAUAACAUUGCAGUGUACGGUUGAAGUAAAACAGUGUAUGCGAAAUAGUGAUACUUAUGCUCAGCGAGGAAACUGUCGUUUAUCAACGGCAG